AACACGUGUCCCCUGCAUCGGCAGGCGGACUCUCAACCACUGGGCCACCGGGGAAGCCCAACUUUAUGCUUUUAUAUCUGUCAUUUCUCAUGGGCUUAAUAAAACUUUAUGCUUUUUCAGCUGUGUAAAAGUUUAGAAAAUUGAUUCAUUUUUUUCUUGCUUGAUUCAACUAUGUUAAAGACAGUCAUCGGAGAUGAUGUUAAUUUUUGCCUUUGUGUCUUAUCUUCUUCAGUGUUUUUUAAACUUACCAAACAAGGAACUUCCCUGGUGGUCCAGUGGUAAAGAAUCUGCCUUCCAGCGCAGGGGACGUGGGUUCAAUCCCUGGUCAGGGAACUAAGAUCCUGCAUGCAGUGUGUCAACUAAGCUCUUGCACCUCAAUGAGAGAGCCUGCAUGCUGCAACGAAAGAUCCCACAUGCCUCAGCGAAGACCCUGCAUGCCGCAACUAAGACCCGAUGCAGCCGAAAAAUAACCCCACAAAAAAUUUGCCAAACAAGGACACAGCUGUGUCUCCCCAGAUACUACGACCAGUGACAAAUGUCCCUACUUCCUUGUGAGACGUUGGACCACCUAUGUGGGAUGUGCUAAGAGACCGCGGAACUGGUGUGGCCAGUAUUCACCCCUCGUGUGCUUCAGGUGAGGGGGAAGAGGAGGGAGAAUCAUCAUGGGGGUGGACAGUGAGAAUCCUUUGGAGAAAGAGUUGUCAGUGUGUCUUCCUCGGGGAUGGGGGAGCUGUCUCCCCCAGCGUAGUAAGCCAAAUCGGGGGGCCUUCAGAGUUUCAGGUGGAGGGACUGGUGCCUGUUUUCACAAGAGCUGGCAGAAUGAAGCAAGAAGGCACUGAUGGAGGAGCUGGACUCCCGUGGGUGCAGGAACUAAGGUGUGAACAGCACUCCUGGUCCCUGGGGGACCCAGAGGCAACAGAGGGCACAGUGGAGGAGGCAUAGAAGGAGCGGACUACGGCCCAUGCAUCCCAUUCUCAGCAGUUUUCCUAGCAAGGUAGGUCCCAGUUGGGGGAAGAGAGAAGUUUUAACUGAAUGUGAGUUUGGAGAUUGGCUUUUUGACCAGGCUAGAAUUUUUGCCUAAAAUGACCACAGGACUUUUAUGCUCUGAGGGACUGGAGACUCUCUGAGCCUCAGGUUGGGAUGGAGAAGGUCUGCAUGUGAGUUUUGCAGAGGACAUGCCUUUGGCUCAUUCAACCCUGUACUCUACGGACCCAGAGUAGGACAUAGCUAAACAUCAGUAUGUAGUGUUUAGAAGUGUUUACACUGCUUCCUAAGUAACUAUGCAUGAACUAAUUCUAACAUGAAAGCUUUUGAACACUUACAUUGCAUAUCUGAUUAACACAAUCAAUUCAUACGUGUUCAAGCACUGAACAUUGUUAAGCACCUCAGCUGGAUACUGGGACUAUGAGGGUGAAUAGGAGUUGCUUCCUGUCCUCAGAAGCGUGCAGUCUAGUGUGAGAAGCCCUAGUCCAACCUGGGGCUUUCCUCCUUCUGGCUGUAGAAGAAUCACAGUGCUGUUGGUUUAAAUGUAUCGUCACUCCUAAGUCUGAUUUGGUAGGUCUGUGUUGGGGCCUAAGAAUCUGCAUUUUAACAAGUAUCUUGUUCUAAGACCAC